rnacentral:rRNA from 1 species
GAUUUCUGGCUUGAAACAUUUUGCCGGCCACGGUUUCGUGUGUUAGUGCUUGAUGUUCUGGCCAUCCUUCCAAUUGCUAUUCACCCUUCUUCAUUGAUUAGUGCGUGGUAUUGGAUCUUUUACUUUGGAAAAAUUAGAGUGUUCAAAGCAGGCUUUUGCUAUGAAUAGAUUAGCAUGGAAUAAUAAUUUAGGACUUCGGUUCUAUUUUGUUGGUUUCUAGGACUGAAGUAAUGAUUGAUAGGGAUAGUUGGGGGUGCUAGUAUUCAGCGGCCAGAGGUGAAAUUCUCGGAUUCGCUGAAGACUAACUUAUGCGAAAGCAUU